rnacentral:rRNA from 1 species
GACGGAGGGGGCAAGCGUUGUCCGGAAUCACUGGGCGUAAAGCGCACGUAGGCGGGACGGUGCGUCGGUGCUGAAAGCGCCAGGCUUAACCUGGCGAGGCGUGCCGAUACGACCGACCUCGAGGCAGACAGAGGGUGGCGGAAUUCCGGGUGUAGUGGUGAAAUGCGUAGAGAGUCCGGAGGAACGCCGGUGGCGAAAGCGGCCACCUGGGCUAACACUGACGCUCAUGGCACGAAAGCGUGGGGAGCAAACAGG